GAAACGUCGCUCACACCCGUCCCCACUAAACCGAAAUUAACCCUUUGUUAGAACAUGGAUUCAGUGUUGGGAGCAGAAGUCACUCUGGACCAAUGAGAAGUCACCACUGACCACAGAGGUCACCACAGAGGUCACCACUGACCACCAGGAUUUCUCAUCCUCAACAUUUUACCCCUGGUCUUGUAUUUGCCCCCAAAACUACUAAUGCA